AUAUAGGGCCUGAUCCAGAGCUCCCUGAAGUCAAUGGGAAUCUUUCUGAUGGCUUCAAUGGGCUAUGGAUCAGGUCCAUAACAU
rnacentral:pre_miRNA from 1 species